rnacentral:rRNA from 1 species
CACGUAGGGUGCGAGCGUUGUCCGGAAUUAUUGGGCGUAACGAGCUCGUAGGCGGUGUGUCGCGUCGGCCGUGAAAACCUGCAGCUUAACUGUGGGCUUGCGGUCGAUACGGGCAUCACUGGAGUUCGGCAGGGGAGACUGGAAUUCCUGGUGUAGCGGUGAAAUGCGCAGAUAUCAGGAGGAACACCGGUGGCGAAGGCGGGUCUCUGGGCCGAUACUGACGCUGAGGAGCGAAAGCGUGGGGAGCGAACAGG